CAGUCGCCGCGGGAAUACGUAGGUCCCGAGCGUUGUCCGGAUUUAUUGGGCGUAAAGCGAGCGCAGGCGGUUAGAUAAGUCUGAAGUUAAAGGCUGUGGCUUAACCAUAGUACGCUUUGGAAACUGUUUAACUUGAGUGCAGAAGGGGAGAGUGGAAUUCCAUGUGUAGCGGUGAAAUGCGUAGAUAUAUGGAGGAACACCGGUGGCGAAAGCGGCUCUCUGGUCUGUAACUGACGCUGAGGCUCGAAAGCGUGGGGAGCAAACAGGAUUAGAUACCCGAGUAGUCCCUGUCUCUUAUACA
rnacentral:rRNA from 1 species